AGAUAAAGAACAAAAAUUAAACACUUUUAUGUGCAUAGGGGUUAAGUGUAGUUUCGCGUUGAGUAUAUAACAGAGCAAGUGCAGACACAGUUCAUCUUGUUCAGGCAUUCCUACCACAGAUCUUCAAACUUCUCCAUAUUACUACAUAAACCUUAUCAACAUGAAGGCUGUAUUCGCUGUCUUACUCGUCGUGGCUAUCUUGAGCGUGAUGUACGAAUACGUACACUGCUCAGUAAUCACUGAUGUGUUGGGGGAUUUAAACAAUGUUGUCGGAAAUCUCGUUAAUGGACUAAACUCUACAGGACAGCAGCUAGCGAAGGAUGUAGUGGGUGACCCUUCGAGCUAGACUAAAUACUGGAUCAUCGACAUUGUUUGCUGCACUGAAGUAGAGUCAACGAGUAGAAACAUGUACACCAAAAAUACUCAACAUCUCAAACGGGCUGUUUAACUACCAAUCUUUGCCUAUGGGAACAAAUUGAAAAAAAAAACAUCAAAGACGAAAACCUCUUUGUAAAUUCCCAUAAUAAAAAUACUCAACGUCUCAAGCGGGCUGUAUAACUACCAAUCUUUGCCUAUGGGGACAAAUUGAAAAAAAAACACCAAAGACAAAAACCUCCUUGCAAUAUGAAAAAUCCUUGAAAAAUUCCUUGUAAUAUGAAUUAUUACUCGUAUAGUUUCGGUAAAUUUUAUCUACAUAAUGAUUAAGAAAAACUAUUCAACAAAGGAGCUGAUUUUGUUGAAUAGGUUAUUUUGUACUUUCUGGUUCUGAGUUUUUUUUUCUAAUAAUGUCUGUCCCAUGCGCAUACAUAAAUUUGGUAGUACAUCGUUCAUCUUACUUUGCUGACACUAUUUUAUGGGCAGCUAUGAAUAUUAUGCUAACCCUUGGCUUUGUUAAAAUUGGUUAAGAAAGUUAUUGCAAUAAAUAUUUUAUUUUCUCAUUUA
rnacentral:lncRNA from 1 species